rnacentral:rRNA from 1 species
ACGCUCGACACCUAGGAGGCAGCAGUGGGGAAUAUUGCACAAUGGGGGAAACCCUGAUGCAGCGACGCCGCGUGGAGGAAGAAGGUCUUCGGAUUGUAAACUCCUGUUGUUGGGGAAAAAGAGGAUGGUACCCAACAAGGAAGUGACGGCUAACUACGUGUCAGCAGCCGCGGUAAUCUGAGCGGGCUGGCAAGGC